rnacentral:rRNA from 1 species
GACGAACGCUGGCGGCGUGCUUAACACAUGCAAGUCGAACGGAAAGGCCCUGCUUUUGUGGGGUGCUCGAGUGGCGAACGGGUGAGUAACACGUGAGUAACCUGCCCUUGACUUUGGGAUAACUUCAGGAAACUGGGGCUAAUACCGGAUAGGAGCUCCUGCUGCAUGGUGGGGGUUGGAAAGUUUCGGCGGUUGGGGAUGGACUCGCGGCUUAUCAGCUUGUUGGUGGGGUAGUGGCUUACCAAGGCUUUGACGGGUAGCCGGCCUGAGAGGGUGAACGGCCACAUGGGGACUGAGAUACGGACCAGACUCCUACGGGAGGCAGCAGUGGGGAAUAUUGCACAAUGGGCGGAAGCGUGAUGCAGCAACGCCGCGUGCGGGAUGACGGCCUUCGGGUUGUAAACAGCUUUCGCCUGUGACGAAGAGUGAGUGACGGUAAUGGGUAAAGAAGCACCGGCUAACUACGUG